AACCAUCUCUUGACCCUAAAAUUCUCUGUACACCAUUUUUUGUAUGCAGGAGCCAUCUCAACGGGUUUUUGGAAUAGCACGGGUUAGGUACCCCAAUUUCUCUCUUGUAGCAAUUCGCAUCUCUACGACUUGAGACCAUAGUGUAUAGUUGGUAUCAUUUAGAACAAUUCUAGUAGGAAACAAAGAGUUGUGACUCUGAAUUGUGAAAUUUAGAGGUUGGAAUUGGAAGAUCCUCCAGUGAGCGAGAGAGGUUAAAUGUUGUCUGGAAUUGUAGCAGAAAUAUAUGAGAUUU
rnacentral:lncRNA from 1 species